GACGUAGGGCGUGAGCGUUGUCCGGAUUUAUUGGGCGUAAAGAGCUCGUAGGCGGCUUGUCGCGUCGAAUGUGAAAACCUGCAGCUCAACUGCAGGCUUGCGGUCGAUACGGGCAGGCUAGAGUUCGGUAGGGGAGACUGGAAUUCCUGGUGUAGCGGUGAAAUGCGCAGAUAUCAGGAGGAACACCGGUGGCGAAGGCGGGUCUCUGGGCAGUAACUGACGCUGAGGAGCGAAAGCGUGGGGAGCGAACAGG
rnacentral:rRNA from 1 species